CAAAUCCCAACCAGAUAGAUUGAAAACUUCUAUUGGCCAAAAGUUGCAUAACAAUAGUCUUCGAAAAAAAUCCUUUCAAAGACUUGGGGAAAACACAUUUGUUGUGGAUGGCGGAUACGCGGUACGCCAAAGUUGCCAAAUGAACGUUAAAGUCCAUGGAAGGAGACUGUAAGAGAGACUCGCGUCAAAGCAUACAUACAACCGUAGAAGGCCCUUAAGAGACAUGAGACGUCCC